CACAGUGGAUUGAAGUGGGGCUGUCAGUCACAUGGUGUUUGAGGACUCCCAUUGUAAAUCAGGGAUUCUUGCAGCCUGCUUUUUCAGGGACGUUGGCUGCUGUCUUCUGACCCACCCUGUGUGACUUUGGCGUCUCCUGUGACCUCCCAGUAUGGGUCUUGGCUUCAUCCUGCCUCUUUGCCUUUCUGGCCCACCACCCCCAACUUGAAUCUCAGGCUCCAACAGUUGCCUGACCCCCAGACUCUGAUGACAGCCUACCUACUUGUUCUUCAGACCCUGAGCAGACUCACUGCCCAGACACACCAUACACGAGAACAUGAAAGGGUAUUUGAGUUUGGGGCCAUGUCAUAGGAUGCACCUUGAAAUGAGCCACGAAAUGUGCAGUCUAAUGGUCUCUGUUGAUCCAUUUGCUGUCUGUGAAACUCCAGAAGUCAGAUGGAAAGGCCAAGGCCACCCCAAGCAUGCUGAAAUUAGUGGGCCAUCGUCAGGAAGAAGUUCGGAACUACAUAUGGAACCAGAUUGUGUAUUUUCUUCUGGCGUGUCUUCUGAUUUUUUAUAUCGAGUAAUAGGAAACAGGUGACAUAGGAAAGCUGGAGACAUGAGCUGGAAGAAUUUCUCUUCUCUUUCUGGAAUAAGGCUUCAGAAUUGAGUGCUGGCAAACUUCUUUAUCCUGGAUUAGGACUUGGGAAGAAUGGAGGUGACCCUGAUGAAUGAAUAAAGAAGACAGAACUAGAAGAAAGGGAACAUUUUCUUCUGAAGGUCUGGUUUCCUUCCAUUUGUUAUCUUGCUUCCUGCAGGUACUGGCAACCUCUACUGAAAACAGCGUCCUAGCUUUCUUCCACAGAUGGUGACCAGAACAGCCUGUCUCAUUGCUGAGCAAUCACCAACAUCCCUUAUUGACCUCAGCCCAGUUGUUGACUCUUUUGUUUAAUUGGCCUUACAUGGAAGCACUUCAACUGAAAGCAUGUCAUUUUUUAGGGAAUUGUGCCAAAAAACAAUUAAUUUCAAAUACACAGCUUUUCUAUUUAAUGCUGCAGUUUCUGUCUGAGGCAACAUUUAUUUAUGUUCCUGUCGGAGGGAGAUAACACACCAGCUGAAGGAACAAGCAGAUGUAGACCCAUGGGAAUCGCAUUGUUGUUGGUCUAACUCUCCUCUUGGCUUUGGCAUCCUGCAGCUGUGGCUGCCUUUACGAAAUGGUAGCAAUCAACUUUACCCAGGGACUGUGGCUCUUCUUGCUUUCUUUUUUAAAAUUUAAUUUAUUAGACUGGUUUAUAAUCUAGAUAGAACUCUAACAACUGUGGGAAUAUUCCCAUGAAAGCCUACAUGCAAAGGGAUAUUAUUCCAAUUCCAUGGGGAUUUUUCUACCCAUCCCAACCAUGGCUCUGCAAAAAACCAUGCUAUUUGUUCUGUUUAUAUCUCUCAGGAGCCUACUAAGGUUUCAUGUACUCCAGUAUGUUUCUAAAUCUAUGUUUUAUUAUGCUCUACUAGGAUUCUGUUGCUUUCACUUAAAGUUGUAAGGAUAUCACAGAGAAAGAGUGUCCCAGAGGGAUAGCCGCACUGCUGAGUGGGAGCUGAGACACUUGGGGCAUUUGAUAUACCAUUUGAGUGGCGGGGCGGGCAGCACCAGGGUAGUGCAUCUAACACAGCAGCACUGUCCCUUGCUGUCACUCCUUAUGGCUGUGUGAGAGCUGGUGGUGAAGGUCCAGAAGGGGCUAAAGGGUCCUUGUGCUGUGAGCAUGCAAUGUGCAGAGUUUUACUAUGUUGUUUUGGUCAAUGUCCUUCUCCUUUCACUUUUUCUCCUUUGUGCGGUGAAGUCUUCUGUUACUAUUUGGCUAAAAUAAGCCACAUAGCUUGUGUUAAAUAAUCUUUUUUAUUUCUUUAAGAAGAAUUUGGUGCCUAUGAAAGUGAUCAAAGUUUUUUGUUCUCCAGUGACAUCAAGCAGGAGAAAUGGAUAUACUGUCCAUUCAUGAGUCCUUAAAUAGUCUAAUCUCAUUUCAACAAAUUCCUUUCUUCCUACUUCUGUUCUUCCCUCCCUUCUUUCUUUUUUCCUUUCCUUACCUUAGACAACCCUACGCAGUAAAUAAAAAAAUCACAACCAGUAAGAAAACAAACUAGAAGAGCAAUCCUUCCUUACCUUAGACAACCCUGAGGAGUAAAUAGAAAAUCAUGGCUAACCAAAAAACAAACCAGAAAAGCAAUAUGUAAGAUCACAAUAUAGGUGGCCCACAGGCUUGUACAUUGUUAUUAAAAUUGAAUUGAAAAUUAGGCUUUGAGGUUCUUGAGUCCAAGCAAAAGAGAAUAAUCACAGUUGUAUGGGUACCCUUGACCACACAGAAAAGCAAAACUAUUCUUGGCACUCAGGCUGAAAAUUCCCAUCUGUGACUCUAUAGGUUAUAAGAGCCCAGGCAGCAUGUAGGGUAUGUAAGGCAAUGACUUUAUUAAAAAAACAAUACUGGUUUUAACAACUUUGAGUCUGUGGUAUUCUCAGGAAAUGUUGAGGUUAUGGUAUGCACAUGUAACCUAGUAGGAGUACCGUGAGAGCCUGGGCAGUUUUCUGCAAGUUAAUGUGGCUUGAUGGUCUAGUUAAAUCUACAGGUGUAACACAGUUAUUUCAAACUCUCCAAACUCUCCAGUGUAAAUAUGGAUUAUCUUGGCAAAAUCUUUUUUUUUUUUUUUUAAUCAGGCAGCAGAUAGUUCAGAGAUAUGUCUUCUGUCAAAUACCACUGUGGCAUAAUUUCUCUUCUCUCCAACCUCCUACCAAUUUGCUGAGGAAUCUAAGUACAUAAUAAACCUGAAAAUAGAAGAUGUGCUAUAAAGUUCUUAAAUGGUAAGAAGUAAAAUAUCAUUGAAAACUUGGCUUUACCUUAGAAAAAAUGAGGAGGUGCUCGGAUUUCUAGGUGUCUUCGAUGAAUGCUGGUUGUCUCUUUGUGACAAAUGCAGUUGGGAGUCCAGUUCUGCAGUGCUUUCAUUGAUUUUGUGGAGGGGUGACUACUGUUUGCCACUUCAGAGCCCAGGUGAACCAUCUAUAUUCAUUAAGCCUGCUGGCAUGGUGGAGAAAAUGGAUACAUCAUACUUUCUUAGGUCGAAAGAUCUGGGAUCAGAAUUUUACCUGUUCUAGAAAACUCUGGCUGAUGCCUGCACUUCUUGUCUUCUGUAACCAGUAUUCAGUAUGGGCCAUCCAGCUUUUUUAUUGAGAUUUGAUCACUUAGCUUUCCAUCAGUAACUCAUUUUGACAUAUGAUUGAAGAAGUUAUCUUGCCAAAUAUCCAGAAUCAAUUUUCAGCAACCUGGGACAUUUUUCAGCCUGGUCAUGAAUUAAGACUCAUGCUCUUUUGUCUGACUGUAAACUUUACUCAACACAUGGAAGCUGCUCCCCAAUUUCUUAGUACAUAGUCGAGGUUCCCUCCUCCCCUAUACCUGAGCAUGGAGUCAGCUGUGUUUGAGACUUAUUAAUGCGGAUUAAAAUAGAAGAAUUUUAUCCAGCGUGAGUCAGUAGAGCAAGAGAUUGAGCACACGGUAAGGGGUGUUAGAAGGGUAGAGGGGAAAGAGAGAGUUAGGGAAAAUUAGGACAAAGCAAGCAAAGAAGAGGGUUCGCAUAAGAAGUGUCUGAAGAAAUAGUAGCUGUUGCUCAUGAUUAUGUUUUACCUGUGAAAUUCAGAUAAUAGUUUUGAGAUCUUAAAGCAAUGAGCUUUUGCUCCCCCCAAAUCUCUAAUGACUUGUGUCCCACACAUUUCCUGACCAAUCGACUCAAUAAUGUUCAUUAUUUGAAGGAAUGGGCCAUACUGCUUAGAACAAGUUCAGAAUUUCAAGUGGUAUUUUGAGACUCAUUGAUGCCCAAACUAAGCAGAAAAUUCACGUUUUAUUAGUUUAAAAAGUUUUCUAAAUUCUAGAAGCUUCCCUACCUAUUGAGUAAAGGCUUGGGGAUCUGUGCUAGUGAGGUUGAGGAGGUAUGAAGACAUUGAGUUUAUGAUUUAAGUAAAGUCUCUAUGACACAGGAAGGGAAAACAGAAAGGCCUUCUAGCCAGUUUUGGGUAGAACAGUACCUUAAGGGAGAACAGGAGAACAAGGGAGUCAGAAUGAACAAAAGCAUGAUUCUGAAGAGCCUGGGUAGGCAGAGAGACCCAGUCCAUUAUCAAAAAGAAAAGAAUCCUUCCUUCCUUAAAAUUACCCAGGAGUCCAGAAAGUAUGCUUUAUAUAUUAGUAUAGAUAUAUGUAGAAACAUCUGUAUAAAAUAUAUAUGCACAUAAAUAUGCAAAUAUGUUAAAAAUGUAAUAUUUUAUCUGAAACACAAAUCUACAUAUUUUUCUAGCUCAGUAUUAGCUUCUCUUGCACCUAUACAAAGGGGCUGCUCUCAGGUAAUGUGCACCCGUCUCUCUAUGCUCACAGCAGCUCCCUCCAGAAAGCUACUAGACUUUUGGUACCAAAACUAAUGGUAGGCCACAUGCACCAGAAUAAGGAAACACAGUUGAAAGCAUGUAUAUUAUUUGACAAGCAUCUAGAGCAUACAUAAAUAAAUCAUAUAGGGAAAAACAGGCAUUGAAUGGUUAGCAAAGAUUCUCAACCCUUGUACUGUAUACUCACUUGGGGAGUUUUAAAACAUUAAUAUAUAGUCCCCACUCAGAGAUUUGAGUUUAACUGGUCUGGCCAGGCACUGAUACAUAUGGUUAAAAAUAUUUUACUUUGUACUUUAAAUAAUUCCAGACUUACACAAAAAUUGUAAGAAUAAUACCAAAAACUUCUGAUUAUCCUUCAUCCACAUUCCCCAGUAGUUAUUUAUUUUUUUUAUUUUUGAGACAGAGUCUCACUCUGUUGCCCAGGCUGGAGUGCCA